CGGGAACUGGCGCAAUUGGCUAGCGCACACGGUUUGGGACCGUGGGGUUGUGAGUUCGAGUCUCACGUUCCCGACCA
rnacentral:tRNA from 2 species